GCAAUGGACGAAAGUCUGACCGAGCAACGCCGCGUGAGUGAAGAAGGUUUUCGGAUCGUAAAGCUCUGUUGUAAGAGAAGAACGGGUGUGAGAGUGGAAAGUUCACACUGUGACGGUAUCUUACCAGAAAGGGACGGCUAACUACGUUGCCAGCAGCCGCGGUAAUACGUAGGUCCCGAGCGUUGUCCGGAUUUAUUGGGCGUAAAGCGAGCGCAGGCGGUUAGAUAAGUCUGAAGUUAAAGGCUGUGGCUUAACCAUAGUACGCUUUGGAAACUGUUUAACUUGAGUGCAGAAGGGGAGAGUGGAAUUCCAUGUGUAGCGGUGAAAUGCGUAGAUAUAUGGAGGAACACCGGUGGCGAAAGCGGCUCUCUGGUCUGUAACUGACGCUGAGGCUCGAAAGCGUGGGGAGCGAACAGGAUUAGAUACCCUGGUAGUCCACGCCGUAAACGAUGAGUGCUAGGUGUUAGGCCCUUUCCGGGGCUUAGUGCCGCAGCUAACGCAUUAAGCACUCCGCCUGGGGAGUACGACCGCAAGGUUGAAACUCAAAGGAAUUGACGGGGGCCCGCACAAGCGGUGGAGCAUGUGGUUUAAUUCGAAGC
rnacentral:rRNA from 1 species